AAACCAGCACCUCAAGUGGUCAGGAGGAUUAUUGGGCCUAAAGCAUCCGUAGCCUGCUGCAUAAGUUUUCGGUUAAAUCCAUACGCUCAACGUAUGGGCUGCCGGGAAUACUGUGCAGCUAGGGAGUGGGAGAGGUAGACGGUACUCAGUAGGAAGGGGUAAAAUCCUUUGAUCUAUUGAUGACCACCUGUGGCGAAGGCGGUCUACCAGAACACGUUCGACGGUGAGGGAUGAAAGCUGGGGGAGCAAACCGGAUUAGAAACCCGAGUAGUCC
rnacentral:rRNA from 1 species